rnacentral:lncRNA from 1 species
CUCGAGUGAAGAGAUGCUGCCUAGUUUUGUGCACAGCACAUACAGUAAGGAAAGCUAACAGAACAUUAACACUUCUGCUAUUCAAUAUUUCUUACAUGAUUUACUACAUUCAGGGAUACAGACACAUAAAGAGCAAGAGAAAGAGGCUGGCAACUAGGAGGGAUCAUUGGAAUUGCAGAAGAGAAACAUGAGGCUGUUUUGUGUCCAAUGUUUCAUCUUUUUCAUCAAACAAGCACAAAUAUGCCGCUUGAUCUGCCCUCUAACUGGUGGAAUCAUAUUCUCAUUACCGCUUCCUUUCUUAGCCACCACUACUUCAAGCUCGCUUGAUCCUAGAGUUGGCGCAAUCAUCAGCUUAUCCAUCGAUCACUUGAACUCAAAAAAGAGCAAGAGAGCAAGCUACGUAGCUAAAGGAGGGAGGAGGGCUUGGUUAUCAAAGGCAAGUGUCGAGUUUCUUUUU